CUUCACAAUGCGUGAAAGCGUGAUGAGGCCAGCCAGAGUGCGCAUGCUACGCAUGCGCUUUUGAGAAUGUGUAGGAAGCUUCUCGAAUAAGGGGUGGGCAAUACUGGUGCCAGCAGCCGCGGUAACACCAGAGCCUCAAGUGGUAGCCAUGUUUAUUGGGCUUAAAGCGUCCGUAGCUGAUUGCGUAAGUUUCCGGUGAAAUCCUGGGUCAUAAGCUCAGGGCGUACCGAAAUACUGCGUAGUUAGAGACCGGGAAGGGUUAGGGGUAUGCUAAGAGUAGGGGUGAAAUCCUGUAAUUCUUAGUGGACCAUCGGUGGCGAAGGCGCCUAACUGGAACGGGUCUGACAGUGAGGGACGAAACCUAGGGUAGCGAACCGGGAUUAGAUACCCCCGUAGU
rnacentral:rRNA from 1 species